UUCUUUUGAGUGAGCCCAGGAAAAACACUCUGAAAUAUCACUGUUUCUUCAACAGCGCUUAUGAAACGGCCAAAAGACUAUAUUACACAGUACUGCAUUUUGUAAGAGUUACAACUUCGGUGCAACAGAAGAUGAAAAUGAAAAUGAAGGACGGGAGUAACUGUAUCAGGCAUCCAGUUAUGAACAAUUACAUAAACGCAGUCUGAUCCAACCUGAAGAUGCAUGGACAGCAAGCUUACAAAGACCAAGAAUCCGAAGUGAAACUCAAAAGGAAAUUAUUGCCAAACCUCUUGCCUCUAAAAUUAAGGAAAACAUUGUGAAAUUGCCUAACAAACUCCAUUAAAAAGCCUCCAGCAAUUGCCGGUUUUAUACGUUUCACAGAAAUCAUGCCAAGUCAUGUAAAAUAAUGAGGAGAGCUGUCCCCCCAAAAUCCCCCCACCCAGCCAAAUGCCUCUGACGUUUGUCAGCCAGAACUAUCAUAAAUCCUAAGGAAGUUGCCACGUAGAAAGAUGUGU
ensembl:lncRNA